GUCCACGCCCUAAACGAUGGACGCUAGAUGUCGGAUUUAUUCGGUGUCGAAGCUAACGCGUUAAGCGUCCCGCCUGAGAAUUACGAUCGCAAUAUUAAAACUUAAAGGAAUUGACGGGGGCCCGCACAAGCGGUGGAGCAUGUGGUUUAAUUCGACUAUACGCGAAGAACCUUACCAGCUCUUGUAUGUUGAUUUUAGCGCCCCGGAGACGGGGGCUUUCGGUUCGGCCGGGUCUUCACAGGUGCUGCAUGGCUGUCGU
rnacentral:rRNA from 1 species